GAGUUUGAUGCUGGCUUGGGAUCAAAUUUUGCAUCAUUCUUAUCACAUGCAAGUUGGAUGAGAAGUGGUGUUUCCAUUGGUAGGUAGGUGGGUUAUGCAUAAGAACAUGGUAUUAGGAGGGUAAAAAAAAAUGGAAAUAGUUUCUCAUAACCCACAGGCUAAGGAGAAAAAGGAGAAAUUUUCCCAAAGAGAGGCUUGUGACUAAUUAGCUAAUUGGAGAGGCAAUGGCUUACUAGGACGAUGAUCAGUAGUUGGUCCAAUAGGAUGGUCAGUCAUACUGUGACUGAGACAUGGCUUGGACUCUUAUGAGAGGUAGAAAUGGGGAAUUUUCUAUGGUAGCAGGGGAUUUUCCACAAUAAUAGUAAGACAAAGGAUGCAAGUGUUAUCCAAAAUGAUUGAGUGUAAAGAAUAUAUAGGUGGUUUUUCAAGUUUGUCACCAAAUCCCAAGCUCAACUCUAAACAAGUGGUGGCAACUACCAUGUCGCUAUAAUUUAAGGGUAGAAGGAAUUUACAAUGGAGCGAUGAAAUGUGUUCAAAUUGGAAAGAACACCAAAGACAAAAGAACUAUGUCGGAUCAACAUUGACAUUGAGAGAUGAAAUCUAGGGGACCAAAUGCAAUUAUAUACCCCAUUAGUUCUAUCCAUAAAUGAUGGAUACUAUGAGUUAUGAGUAUUGACCUGCACAAUGUUUUAGCUAACACAUUAGGUAUUCCAGU
rnacentral:ncRNA from 1 species